AUGGCCGACCUUUUCCACUGUGCCAGGACGUGCAAGCGGUGGAGCCGCCUCGUCGCCGACAUCCGCCGCCACCGGCCGGACCAGAUGUCGACUUCAUUGCUCUCUGGCUUCUUUCCAAAGAGAGGCAAGGUGAGGUACCUCUUCCCCACACCCGGGUCCUUGUUCGGGCCAGAUCGUCGCCUCCUCGGUUCCUUCUUGCGAGGCACCGCGAGAGACCUCAGUCGCGCAACACCCCUCUUCGCGCGCCAUGGCCUCCUCCUCAUGCGUCUCCCCUCCUCCGAUGCACCAAGCAUCAUCCACCUUGCCUUGUGCAAUCUGCUUGCCGGCACAUGCGAUGAACUCCCGCCGCUAAAGAUCAGGUGGAAGUUUGACAAAGGUGGCUACGCCAUCAUUACCGAUGCAGACCGUUCCUCAAACGGUAAGUAA
rnacentral:rRNA from 1 species